CAAUGGGAGAAAUCCUGAAGCAGCAACGCCGCGUGGAGGAUGAAGGGUCUAUGACUUGUAAACUCCUGUAAAGAAGGAAAAAAUUCCAAUUUGAUGGGAGAUGAUGGUACUUCUGGAGUAAGCCCCGGCUAACUACGUGCCAGCAGCCGCGGUAAUACGUAGGGGGCAAGCGUUGUCCGGCUUUACUGGGUGUAAAGGGUGCUCAGGCGGAUUUGUAAGUCAGAGGUGAAAUCUUACAGCUUAACUGUGAAACUGCCUUUGAUACUGCAAGCCUAGAGUAUGGAAGAGAGUGAUGGAAUAUCUGGUGUAGCAGUGAAAUGCGUAGAUAUCAGAUAGAACACCAAUGGCGAAGGCAGUCACUUGGUCAAUUACUGACGCUAAAGCACGAAAGCGUGGGUAGCAAACA
rnacentral:rRNA from 1 species